UGCUAUGGCUGUUCUUCUCAUUGCUUGAAGCCUUGGGCAACGGGAUUUUGGUCCAUCAUAUAGCAAAGCUGGCUUGUCUUCACUUAGGGCACCAUGGCAUGGGCUUGGCUAACCAUUAGCACCUUCUGAUUUUUACAGAGUCAAACAAUC
ensembl:snoRNA